GGUGCUCUACAGAUUAUCUGCUGAGUAAAUGGCAUCUUGACAAGGUCCUGCCCUUGAGGGGAAGAAAACAAGAAAAAUAAGGGAGAACAAUAAACAAAGGAAUAUACAGAGCCAUACAGAUGAUUUAACAGGAGUGACAAAAGUGUCCUGCCCACACUUUGUAUUUGGCCCAGCACAAGUGCAGAUAACAUGAAGGACAAACAUGAAAACUGACCAACUACAGGCCUUCCUCAACUUAUUAUGAAGUCACGUCCUGACAGACUACUGUAAGAAUGGACUGGACCACUGCUACCCUGCUUUGGAUUUCAGCCACUGCCAUAAUUCACACCUUAGCAAGAAGAACACAAGUUCUCAGUUCUAAGAUCCUCUGCCUUUGGGUAUAAAAUGUAGUGAUUCGACAUUCUGUACAUUACUCACUGCUCACCACUUUAAGUGUUGUAAACAUCUGUCACCACACGACAUUAUUAUGAUAUUAUUGACUAUAUUCCUAUGCUGUACUUUUCAUCUUCAUGACUUAUUUAUUUUAAAACUGGAAGUUUGUACCUCUCAAUCUCCUUAGUGAUUUUACCUAUCCUCCUCACUCUUCUCCCCUCUUGCAAAGACCAGUUUGUUCCUUAUGUUUAUGAGUCUAUUUCUGUUUUAUUGUCUGUUUGCGAAUGGGUAUGGAGUUUCUCCUUUUUGCAAUGUUGAAACUGUUCUUCAAUUGGGAUGAUGGUUGCAUAACUCUGUGAGUAUAACUAAAACUUUA